rnacentral:tRNA from 2 species
UGCCCCCUCGUCCAAUGGCAGGACAUCGGACUUUGGAUCCGAGAAUGGUGGUUCGAAUCCACCGGGGGCAA